rnacentral:tRNA from 1 species
GCCGAGGUAGCUCAGCUGGCGAGAGCGCGCCACUCAUAAUGGCGAGGUCGGGAGUUCGAAUCUCCCCCUCGGCA